GUGUCAUGCAAGAAGGAGGCGGCGGCGGCGGCCGGAGCUGGAGGGGGAGGAGGGGAGGAACCUGAUCCUCGGUAGCGAAGGGCUGGAGGCAAACACCGAGCUCCCCCUGAGCCGCCUGGGAGCAGGGAGGGUUCUGCUACCCUGAGGGGCCCUCCCCGCGGGGCAGAGGGGUUUCCUCAGCAGUGCCCCGGAGCAGGGACCGCGCCAGCCAGCAGAAACAGCUAGUUGUUGUCUGCAGUGAAGAAUAAUUGGAAGCAUGGUGCCUGUUUCUUUUCCUAGGAGCCAAGAAUAGGACAGCUUGGGAAGCUCAUCCUCGUCUACGGCCAAACGUUGGUUUCUCAUUUCUAGAAGAUGAAAGAUGUGAUGACUCAGGAAAAACUGGAAUCUUAGUAACUGUGGUGGGCAUUGAGCCUUGCCGUCCACAAGAGAAAGCUUGCUGCUCGAGAUGUGAGUCUUCAGAUGUUCCUGCCGCCAUAUCUGACAGCUGCUGCCAAGAUUCCCUGGUGGGAUGGACUCUUAUACCUCAACAACCAGAAGCCCAAGUAAACUCUUCUAUAAAUUGAAUGACUCAUGCUUAAAAAAAAAAACAAAAAACAA
rnacentral:lncRNA from 1 species